rnacentral:rRNA from 1 species
UACGUAGGCAGCGAGCGUUGUUCGGAAUUACUGGGCGUAAAGAGUGUGUAGGCGGUGCUCUAAGUUCGGUGUGAAAUCUCCCGGCUUAACUGGGAGGGUGCGCCGGAAACUGGAGUGCUCGAGCGUGGGAGAGGAAAGCGGAAUUCCUGGUGUAGCGGUGAAAUGCGUAGAUAUCAGGAGGAACACCGGUGGUGUAGACGGCUCUCUGGACCGUAACUGACGCUGAGACACGAAAAGCGUGGGUAGCAAACAGG